rnacentral:tRNA from 1 species
GCGCCCAUAGUUUAAUGGAUAGAACAGUGGCUUGCGGAGCCACUAAUCUAGGUUCGAUUCCUAGUGGGCGCA